rnacentral:rRNA from 1 species
GAUGAACGCUAGCUACAGGCUUAACACAUGCAAGUCGAGGGGAAACGGCAUUGAGUGCUUGCACUCUUUGGACGUCGACCGGCGCACGGGUGAGUAACGCGUAUCCAACCUUCCCAUUACUGUGGGAUAACCUGCCGAAAGGCAGACUAAUACCGCAUAGUCUUCGAUGACGGCAUCAGAUUUGAAGUAAAGAUUUAUCGGUAAUGGAUGGGGAUGCGUCUGAUUAGCUCGUUGGCGGGGUAACGGCCCACCAAGGCUACGAUCAGUAGGGGUUCUGAGAGGAAGGUCCCCCACAUUGGAACUGAGACACGGUCCAAACUCCUACGGGAGGCAGCAGUGAGGAAUAUUGGUCAAUGGACGGAAGUCUGAACCAGCCAAGUAGCGUGCAGGAUGACGGCCCUAUGGGUUGUAAACUGCUUUUGUAUGGGGAUAAAGUUAGGGACGUGUCCCUAUUUGCAGGUACCAUACGAAUAAGGACCGGCUAAUUCCGUG